rnacentral:rRNA from 1 species
GAGUUUGAUCAUGGCUCAGGAUGAACGCUAGCGGCAGGCUUAACACAUGCAAGUCGAGGGGUAUAGUUCUUCGGAAUUAGAGACCGGCGCACGGGUGCGUAACGCGUAUGCAAUCUACCUUUCACAGAGGGAUAGCCCAGAGAAAUUUGGAUUAAUACCUCAUAGUAUAACGAUUCCGCAUGGAGAUGUUAUUAAAGUCACAACGGUGAAAGAUGAGCAUGCGUCCCAUUAGCUAGUUGGUAAGGUAACGGCUUACCAAGGCUACGAUGGGUAGGGGUCCUGAGAGGGAGAUCCCCCACACUGGUACUGAGACACGGACCAGACUCCUACGGGAGGCAGCAGUGAGGAAUAUUGGACAAUGGGCGCAAGCCUGAUCCAGCCAUGCCGCGUGCAGGAUGACGGUCCUAUGGAUUGUAAACUGCUUUUGCACAGGAAGAAACAACGCUACGUGUAGCGUCUUGACGGUACUGUGAGAAUAAGGAUCGGCUAACUCCGUGCCAGCAGCCGCGGUAAUACGGAGGAUCCAAGCGUUAUCCGGAAUCAUUGGGUUUAAAGGGUCCGUAGGCGGUUUAGUAAGUCAGUGGUGAAAGCCCAUCGCUCAACGGUGGAACGGCCAUUGAUACUGCUAGACUUGAAUAUUAG